GCUGCUCCACAUUUGUAGCUUAGUUUAUCAACUUAAUGAAUAAAGCGAAUAGCAUGCUACUUUUCUCUCAAAAAUCAGUUCCUCCACAAUGACAAUGACGUUUUAUUUUUUAAUAUAUAUAUUUAUUUUUUAAUACUCCGAAUCUCUCUCAUCUUUAUCUAUACAUUAUUAUUAAGCUAAGAUUAGAUAUAUUAAAUGCAUUAUCAAAUCGCCACUACUAAGACUGUUAGAUAAAAUAGAGUUAGGAAAAAAAUAUAAAGGGUUAUAUUUCUGCAUUCUCGACCACAAAAAAUAUAUCAUAACCGACUUAUCAAAAUGUGCGGAACGCAAUAUUACGUACGAAAACAAACAGAAUAUUUUUUCAUCAUACUUUUUCACUGCACGUAACACAAUCUUUCCUCAAUUCCAAACGAAGCUACCACUCGGCCGGCAGCUCAUUCCA
rnacentral:lncRNA from 1 species